CUACAGUUUGUUGCAGAGUCAAUGCUGAUGUACUAAAUUUGGAUAUUCUACAAAGCCAAUAAAAGAAAGAAGCAAAGCAAGCAAAAAAGAGAGAGGAAAGAAAGGAAGGAAGAAGGAAGGAAGGGAAGGAAGGAAGGAAAGAAGGAAGGAAGGAAGGAUAAACUGACUGUCAGGUCAGACUGUUCAGAGAGGCUUGAUGUGCCUAUAGUUGGUAUACACGAUGACUACGAGAAGAUAGCAUCAAACUUGGGAAUAUGUGUAGCACCUGAGAUUUAUACUAAUGGAGGAGAUUGGCAAUGGAAGCCAGAGAAGCAAUAGAAGAUGGGCAUUUGCCAACUGCCAAAAUAUGUGAAGCUGAAACUUCUCGUUUCUGGACUUGUAGAUAACUCCUUUGUUUUACCCCUUAUAUUGGUGUUGAAGCAAAACAUCUUCUGAAUCAAAUUCAUUAACCCUACAGAGGUUUGACUAAUAGAAAGAGAAUACAUUUAGGAGCUAAACAGAUGUGGUUUGAAUUUUGGAUCCAUCAUUUGCAUUCACUUGCCAUUUGAGAUCAGACAAAUCCUUAACCUCUCUUACCCUCAAAGUCUUCAUCUGCGAAAAUAGUAAUACUUAUAUCACAAGACUAGGAGUAUUUAAGGAGUCUAUAUAUAUUUAAGUAUCUGGAACUUCAUGGAUAUUCAAAAGUAUUCAUUUUCUUUUCCUCAAUAUAAUCUUCUCUGGCUAAUAGCUUUGGCAUUCAGUAGCAUUUGCAGGACUCAUAAUAUCUUAGUGAAAGGGAUCAUUCCAAUUAAUAUUCCAGCCACUUUUUCCUGAAAUUGUCAAGGCAUAGUUUAUCAUCCUGUGCCCAGUAUUAGUUAUAUCCUUAUUACCAGCUGUAACUACAAAUGCAUG
rnacentral:lncRNA from 1 species